UGCUAUGAUGGUGUAAUUUGCGUCUUAUCCUGUGAACAGCGACAGUUAGCCUGCUGUCACAUGCUGGCACAGAAGUCUGAAGAAAGAAGGAAUCUGAGCA
ensembl:snoRNA SNORD16 Small nucleolar RNA SNORD16